CUGAAGUCACUUUGGCCGAUUUGGCGAAUCUACGUCAAAUGCCAAACGAAUGGGCAGAAAGUUUUCUCCAAAGGUUCAAGACAGCAAGAAGCAAGUGUUUUGUACCUCUGCCCAAAAAAGAAUUUGUCAAAAUUGCUCAGGGCUACUUGAGCUUUGAUUUAAAAAAGAAAUUCCAGGACAAGGAAUUUCCUGACCUUUUCCAGUUGAGUGCGAAUGUGAUUAGGUAUGAACGACUGAUAAGAGAGGAAGAACAGAUGGAAAAUUCUAGUAAAGUGACUUAUUACAAAGACCCAAAUUUUGAUGUUCAUACCAUCAAUGACGAGUCAUACGAUCAGGCCGAAAUGUGUUUGGUCGAAUUGGUCAAAGGAGAUACGUAUACUUGUCCCAUAAUGGCCAAGCCUAGACCAUCGAGCAAAGACGAACCCAUGAAAGAUGGAAAUAUAAAGGCUAGAACGUUCUCGUUCGACGUAACCAAAGCUGACCUUACAUUUGAUAAAUUAUAUAGGGAUAAGCAGAUAAAGUUGAGAGAUAAGCACAAAUUGCCAAACCCUGAACAAAUUAAGGGUAAAAAAUAUUGUAAGUGGCAUAAUACAUGGUUACAUUUGACUAACAAUUGCUUGGUUUUUCGCCAUGUAUUGCAGGGUGCCAUUGAAUCAGGACGAAUUACGUUCGACGAUAAGAAGAAGAUGGCAGUGGAUGAAAAUCCUUUUCCACAGCCACUUGGAGUGAACAUGGUGACGUCUGGAUUCAAAAACAAGUUGCCAAAAUUCAAGUUGGUCGUAGAUGAUGGAGAAGAGGAUCUUAGACCACAUCCCAGUGUCUUUGAACGAAUCAAGGGGAAAGAACCAAAAAAGGACGAAGACGUCCUGUGUGCAAGAUGUAAAAGAGAAGUGAAUGGCAAUACGGAGAAACCAGGGAUAUGGUAGUAUCCCCAUCGCCCUACCUUCUUCCCAAACACUCAGUCUGGUAGAGGGCGAGGUAUAUCAUUCUAUAGAGGACCAC
rnacentral:lncRNA from 1 species